rnacentral:lncRNA from 1 species
AAUAAAGUACAUUUUUUUUGGAAAAAGACGUCAGCUUUUUUAUUUAAAAGCUGAAAAAUAUAUUUUUUUAAUGCAUGAAACAACUUUAAAAAAUACCCAAAAAAAUAGCCAAUUUGCAAGAGGCAGGAAUCGAACUCUUGCCCAUGUAAUUUGAAGGCUAUAACUUAACCAGUUGCGCCACUAUACUAUUUCGAAAUAAAAUGUACUCUAUUAAAUAUAUACUUACUAUAAUAAACAAAUUUAAACAAAUAUAAAGUAUUCAUAUCAAUAUCAGGCGCGACAUUCACCCAUCUGCGCGAACUUCAUUCGAAACCCUGUUCCGCGCCAUCUCAGAAAAAAGCGCGGGCAGACGCCGUCUUCACCGUCGCCGGCAGGCCUCGUGGACUCCGGCGACAUCUCACUGCUAUAUUCAAUUUUCAAUUCGUUCGGAACCCUCGCCCGACCAUCCCAGUUGAAGCAAUUCGCCGCUGCCUCAUCUGAGUAAAAAUCAGUCGCCACCGCAGCCUCGUGG